UAUAAGGCUUAUCAAUCAAAAGCGGCUGUCAAAAAAAGACUUGGCCCAACAACCGAAGUCAGUCGAGCGAUUGAUUUUUUUUUUCGGGAGGCAAGCCCCCUCCUCCUCCCCCUCCCACCCACUUCUCUCGCAGACGGGCGCGAGCCUUUCAUUCUCCUUCAUCCACCAGUCAUCAUCGGCGCGCUGGACCUCCUGAAUCUUCUGCCAAAUAUAGCCGGGCGUAUCUGCCCGUCGCGGCCGAUACGCUCAUUAUGUCACCAUCAUUGGCCGCUGGAUGAAGGCCCCUCCGCAAGCUGCAGAUAUCAAGCCCAGUCGAACCCCGGUGACCUGCAAUUGAUUCACGGGUGAUGCACAUCAGUGGCGAGCCGCAACAGCACCGUGACUGUCCGCCUUCCCUCGGCCGACUCCGCCUCAAGUGAAUAUUGGUGCGGCGUGCAUACAUCAGCGGCGGCGAAACGGAGGUGGCCGGGUGGUAACGCUGGCCACGUGUGCUGUGCUGGUGGCUGUUAGGUGCCUUAUAACCAGCUCUUGUGUGUACGUUCUGCGAGGAUGAAUCAGCGGUAUUUGUUUCGUAAUUUUAUCUCACGUCUCCCUGUGCUAUGGAGGCAUUUGUAUGAAUGGGCUCUCAGAUGAAUCUAGAUGAAAGUGUAAUUGAUUUUAACAUGUAAGUGGAGCACUCUGUCCUUUGUUUAUAAUGACAAACACAGUGUACACACACCUUGGUGAAUCUGCUGCUCCUGCAUGAAGGCAUCCCCACAUUGUCAGUCAAACCCGGUGUGCUUGCCUACCGUGCUACCGCUCCCCUAAAGUUGUUUGAACUUGAAUUUCCAUAACAACACUCCGUUCUCGGCUAAAGUGGAUGAACUAUUAUUAUGAAUACAUAUUUAAUUGGUCAUUCAAAUCGUUGUGAUAAAAAAUGCAAACUCGUCCUCCCCCCCCCCACCAAUCAUUAGUCCGAGGCUCAUUUCACGCACAGGUGAUAAAAUCAAAUACAUUAAUUUAUGUUAAGUGUGCUAUAUAAAAUGUUAAAGCAAUGUUGAAUGCUAAAGCAAUGUUAAGGCAAUGUGCGUUGGUUUGUGUGCAUGCAUGUAAUAUUCCACUCUCAGAACUUAUUGACUGUCCACUAUAUAUAUAUCUUUAUAUAUAUAUAGAUUUCCUUUAUUGAAUUUAAAUGAAAGUGCAUUGAGAUGACAUUUCUCUUUUUCAAGGUUGACACAUAUAGUGUAAAUAUAUAACCUGGAUGUGUCCCCCGCACAUACCACACUCAUAAAUAUACUGGCUAUGUGCGUGGGCAAGAUAUUUACAAAUAUCUGUGUGCUCUCUCACUCAGUCUGACUUUCUGCUGGCUUGGAUUCAUUGGUGUCUGCGCCCAUAUUGGCCCAAAUUCCUCUUAUGUCCCCCCCCCACCCCCCCAACUGGUUUGUAAUCCCUCGACGCAUAACUGUGCAUGCUUCAGAAGCAAUCCAAUAAUGCACGCUAUUCAGACUCACUCCACCGAGCUUUAAUUAUUGCCAAUCAAUCAAAUGCACUGUAUGCAUGGAACGACCCAGCUUUGGGUUGGCUACAUGAUCAUAAUUAUUAUUUAUGCAACAACUAAUGUAAUGGAAGUGAACCCAAAACAAAGUAGUGGACACAUUUGUAUUGUUAUUGGUCUUAUGUGAGCAGUGUUCGCGCAAGUCGAAGUUGUGGCUGAUUAUUUAGCGAAAUGCCUUGUGAGAACGUGAGUUUAAACUCACGUAGGUUUUGACUCACACGGACACACCAUCCGCACAGUUUGAAAUGCAGACGUUUUAGAUCAUUUGCCUACUGGCUGCAAUGCGUACACGAUGAUGCACGGUCGCACACUGAUUUAGCGGCCAGGUUAAAUUUACAUCCCAAAAUUUGCCCUGCAUCGCUGAUGAGCAGCACACUGAUUAUUGCCUUUCACGUUUUACAUGUUUUGAAUGGAAAGUUAUUCCUUCAUAUUAACUGAAUACAAGAUUAACAAUGCUCCCCUCCCUCCCU